rnacentral:rRNA from 1 species
AGACCCGAAACCCGGUGAUCUAGCCAUGGGCAGGUUGAAGGUUGGGUAACACUAACUGGAGGACCGAACCGACUAAUGUUGAAAAAUUAGCGGAUGACCUGUGGCUGGGGGUGAAAGGCCAAUCAAACCGGGAGAUAGCUGGUUCUCCCCGAAAGCUAUUUAGGUAGCGCCUCGUGAACUCAUCUCCGGGGGUAGAGCACUGUUUCGGCUAGGGGGCCAUCCCGGCUUACCAACCCGAUGCAAACUGCGAAUACCGGAGAAUGUUAUCACGGGAGACACACGGCGGGUGCUAACGUCCGUCGUGAAGAGGGAAACAACCCAGACCGCCAGCUAAGGUCCCAAAGUCAUGGUUAAGUGGGAAACGAUGUGGGAAGGCCCAGACAGCCAGGAUGUUGGCUUAGAAGCAGCCAUCAUUUAAAGAAAGCGUAAUAGCUCACUGGUCGAGUCGGCCUGCGCGGAAGAUGUAACGGGGCUAAACCAUGCACCGAAGCUGCGGCAGCGACACUCAGG